rnacentral:lncRNA from 1 species
GUGGCACCAGGUGUUGCCUAUUAGGUUUCGCAACCCAGUGUACCUUCCCAGUCCUAUGUUAUAUCUCAGAAAGGAUGAUCAAGAAUCAUCUAUGGAUCAGCAGUGAUAGAUACAGAAGAAGAACCUGUGGGACUUUAUUAUCCAGCAGGUAUGGAUGAUAAGGAUCACUUGUCCAACAAGAAACACGUUGAUUUCAUAGGUGGAUUUGACUCUUACGGCUAUCAAGGCCCACAGAAGACAUCUCAUCUACAGUUACAGCCCAUGUAUAUUGCCAACAGUGUACUUUAUGCUGUACAAGCCAAGAAGCCUAUCCAGUCCCUUCAAAAUGAAUAUGCAUUUUAA